AUCUAAAAUUCCUUCAAAUACUUUUCCUUGGAUCUUAAGUUUAAGAGUGGGGCGUUCUUUAGUAAUAGCUUGGAUCCAAUAUAAGUCUGAAGAACCUGGGGUAGAGGAGCCUCGCUGCUUAUGAAUAGCAGGGUGAGAUGUACUUAAAGGGAGGGGGAGCGCCUGCGCAAGGCGCUGACCUUUCAUAAUGCUGACAGGGCACUGGGGGGCACUAGCAAGAAUUUUUAUUUCUCCAGUAUAGUCAUUGUCAACUAAGGAAGGGUGGACAAUAAGGCCGUUUAUUGUGGUGGAAGCUCGCCCUAAAAUUAGAAAAUAAGUAUCUUUGGGAGGUGGGCCAUAAAUUCCUGUGGAAAUAAUUGUAAUUCCCUCUUCAGGCGUUAAUAUUGUUGAGGAGGAGGCACAGAGGUCAAGUCCUGCACUCCCGGGUGUGGCCCGAUAGAGGGCGGGAGUGCUACAGCUAGGCUGUUCCCCGAGGCCGGCUGAAAUGGAAUUGGCUGGGGGGCCCGGGGCUGGCCCCUCAGCUCGUUUCCCUGAAAAGGGGGGGUGAAAGGAUUUGUGGUACUGUAAAAAGGAUUUGUUGGAUUGUUACGGCACUCUUUGGCCCAGUGCCGCCCCUUAUGGCAGCGAGGGCAAAUACCGGGGACUGACCCAACUCUAGGAGGAGGAGCUGUGGUAGGGCAUUGGCGAGCGAAAUGGCCUGGCUGUCCACAUUUAAAGCAGUUACGCAUAGGCGGUGCGCCCUUGGGGAAGGAAGGAGGAUAAGAAGCCGGGGGAGUUUGAACAGCGGCACCUACAGCUAAAAGGGCUUGGACUUUGGAUGUAAAAGGAUCGACAUCUCUACACAUUCUCAGCAUUUCAUCAAGAGUUUUGUCUCGAGUCUUACCGCGGAGGACGGCUCGACAUGCCGAAUUGGCGUUUUCAUAGGCUAGCUGUUUUACAAUCUUAUCAUUGGCAGCCGCGGAACCAAGGGUCCUUUCGGCGGCCUCUAACAGUCUGCUAACAAAUUCGCUAUAGUCUUCUUGCGAGCUUUGAGUGAUCUUAGUUAGAGGAGUGUUAGCAGUCCUGGAAGCAGGGAGUGAUAUCCAAGCGCCCAAAGCGGCAUCUUUCACUUGAGAUAAAAGACCAAGGGGAAGGCGCUGCUGCCUGGUUUCAGAGAUAUAUCUGCCCUGUCCCGUAAGCUUAUCAAAAGUCUAGGACGCUGUUGGGGAAUGAGGGUCUUUUACAUUGGCAGCAGCGAUGGUCUGACAGCGGUCAGCAAAAUCUGCCUUCCAAGUUAAAAACUGACCACGGGUAAGCACAGCCUGGACUAUACGCAGCCAUUCACCUGGGAGUAAAUGUCCUCUUCGAGACAGCGAAUCAAGAACAGAAAGGCAGGGGCGUCUUCGCCGUCGCUUUCAAGAUCGCCCUCUUCCGGACUAUGUGUUGUGGAGGUGGGGCCAGAGCGGGCGGAGGCCCGGGAUGAAUUUCGGGGCCAUUAAUGAUAAACCACGGACAGACUUCAUCAACAAAAAUAAAAAACUUUACCAAGUCUUUCUUUUUAACUCGAA